rnacentral:rRNA from 1 species
AACGAACGCUGGCGGCAUGCCUAACACAUGCAAGUCGAACGAAGGCUUCGGCCUUAGUGGCGCACGGGUGCGUAACGCGUGGGAAUCUGCCCUUGGGUCUGGGAUAACAGUGAGAAAUUACUGCUAAUACCGGAUGAUAUCGCGAGAUCAAAGAUUUAUCGCCCGAGGAUGAGCCCGCGUUGGAUUAGCUAGUUGGUGGGGUAAAGGCCUACCAAGGCGACGAUCCAUAGCUGGUCUGAGAGGAUGAUCAGCCACACUGGGACUGAGACACGGCCCAGACUCCUACGGGAGGCAGCAGUGGGGAAUAUUGGACAAUGGGCGAAAGCCUGAUCCAGCAAUGCCGCGUGAGUGAUGAAGGCCUUAGGGUUGUAAAGCUCUUUUACCCGGGAAGAUAAUGACUGUACCGGGAGAAUAAGCUCCGGCUAACUCCGUGCCAGCCGCCGCCGUAA